GCUGCCAAGUUUUACAAACACCCGCCUUGAACUUUGGUAAGGGAGAGGCCGAGAGUUCAAAUCUCUCUAGCAGCACCA
rnacentral:tRNA from 1 species